CUUCCCCCUGAGCCAGCAGGAUAACAAAAGGAAACCUUAUCUAUGUUGCUUUGGAGGCGGGAUUAUUUCACUGCCAACAAAUGGCAAUCAAACUCUCCUGCAGAACUAUAAUAGAACCAGGAGACGCAUGAUUACAAAACCCAAUGUAACAAAGUUUCAAAAACUUCACAUGAGAGGGCAAAUUAUAGGUUUAAUGAAGACAAAAUUUGUUAAAAACUAAAACAGAACUCAACAUAUAAAAAGAACAGCAUGUCUAGCUGAUUUCCUCCCCAACCACUCAUGGACAAUCGGCAACUCUCGAUCGAUCUUAUUGUGUAAAGGCCUCCACUGGUUGAUCAUCAUCUGUACCAAAAUAUCUAUCUCCAAAUUCUCCCAUGCCAGGAAUGACGCGAAAAUCUUCAUUCAAGCCAAUUUCAAUCUCAGACGUCACAAUCUUUAUCCUUGGGAACCUUUUGCAGACCACAUGAACUCCUUGAGGUGCAGAUAUCAGAUUAAGAAAUAUAAUGUUGGACUCUGGUACACCCUUGCUAAUUAGUAAAGAGAUGGCUUGAACAGCUGAGUUGCCUGUCCCUAAAAUGGGAUCCAAUAGCAAUACAUGUCUCUUUGAGAUGUCUUGUGGCAAUUUCUCAUAGAUCAGCUGCUGACCAUUAUCACCUUCCCUGUGAAUAAGAAUCUUCCCAAUCUUGAUACCUUUACAACAUGCUCGCAAAGCAUUCUCCAUACUCUCACCACUCCUAAUCACAGAGACACCACAUAACCUCUUACAGAAAUCCACGCCAGUGUAUACAGACCCAGUGGGAGUGAUCACUUGCUUUUCUGUAAAUGGUAAAUGUCCCAGACCAUGUUCAACAACCAAGC
rnacentral:misc_RNA from 1 species